rnacentral:lncRNA from 1 species
GGCAUGUUUGUAAAGUUUAAAUAAGGACAAAAAUACACGUGGAUUAUAAUAAUCUCGUAACAAUAAUAUUAAAAAUAAUUAUUGCUAAAGUAUUUAAAUUGUUCUAAUCAAUUUUAAAAAUAUUUUAAAUAGCUUUCAAAAAAAAAAUUUUAAAUCUUCGUCAAAAAAUACAUUUUAAAUCUUCUUCUAUUUCUAAAAGUAAUUUUUUUUCAGAAUAAAAGUAAUAUUUUUUUAAUAAUUCCUUCACUGUCA